rnacentral:lncRNA from 10 species
CCCUUCUUCCUCCCACCUUGUGAAGAAGGUGCCUUGCUUCCCCCUCACCUUCUGCCGUGAUUGUAAAUUUCCAGAGGCCUCCCCAGCCAUGCUGCACGCCAUUUGAAGUGCUGUCUGCUCCUUGGCCUUCUGGCAUGAUUGUAAGCUUCCUGAGGCCUCCCUAGAGGAUGAGUACAUGGCAGCAUCAUGCUUCCUGUACAGGCCGCAGAACUUGUGAUAGAGGCCAAAUCCAUGCCAGGGCUGAAGACCAAGAAUGGAGUAAUGUCUGCAGAGAGAAGGGGUACAGCCAUAGAGUUCAGAAAACCAGGAUCCAGUGAUCUUGGAUAAAGAAGUGGGACAGCUGGAUGACCAUGACAUUGGACCUCCAGUAGUGCUCGUGAAGCGAUGCAUCUUGGAAAGGAGGAUCUGCCUGCGUUCCUGACAUCACCCUUGGGAUUUCUCCUCUGCUCUCCAGGCCUCUGGCUCUCCCUGCUGGUUCUGUGCUGGGUCACCUGCCACUGCUCAGCCUGCAUGCCCUGCAGAAGUUGGCUGGAGCCAGCUGGUGGUGACUUGCCAGAGACUCUGGUUAAAUAGGAAUUUUGCAAGCUGGUUGUUAAACCAUUGGUAGCUUGAAAUCAGCCUUGGUGGGAGUAUUUAUAACCCAGAAAUUGGCAAAUACUACAAAUCAAGUCUUGCCUCCAGCAGCUUACCAGUAGUCCACAGCUUACCUGCUCCUCUUAGUACCAAUGAAAACACCUACAUCACCUCGUUUUAAUAGCGACAAACUUGAGAAUUUUUGAUACAAAUAUUUACUAGGAAAAAAAGAAAAGAAAUAGCUUCACUUCUCCUCCUUCAAAAGCUUUGGAACAGAAGUCCUUUAUCAAGUACAGAUUUCUACUCUUAAUGUUAACCAGAGGUUUGUUCAAAACAGGUCGAAUCUGGACCCCUUAGCCGAGCGUGGUGGUGGGUGCCUGUAAUC